UACGGAGGGGGCUAGCGUUGUUCGGAAUUACUGGGCGUAAAGCGUACGUAGGCGGCUUUGUAAGUUAGAGGUGAAAGCCCGGGGCUCAACUCCGGAAUUGCCUUUAAGACUGCAUCGCUUGAAUCAUGGAGAGGUGAGUGGAAUUCCGAGUGUAGAGGUGAAAUUCGUAGAUAUUCGGAAGAACACCAGUGGCGAAGGCGGCUCACUGGCUCAUACUGGACGCUGAGGUGCGAAAGCGUGGGGAGCAAACAGG
rnacentral:rRNA from 1 species